GGUUGGGCCGCCUCGCGGGCAGGGCGCGGCCCUUCCUGUCCCCGGGGGGCGGGGGACCCAGCUCCCGGCGCCCCCAGUUCGCCGUGCCUUUGCGGUGGAGGCUGUGGGCACUGCCUGGAAAUGGAAGAGCUCAUCUGUCUGGUUUACCACUGCAUUCCCAGCACCAAAUGCAAUGCAUGACACCGUCAUGGAAUUUGAGGACUUCUCCAAGAUAAAAUUGUGAAGAAGGGGAAGCAGGCCUUUGAGGUUCAGUCUCCCUGAUGAUCGUUCUGCUCUGUAGAUGUGUGGAGGAAAACCCCUUAUUUAAACGUUGGCAGCUGCUUAGCUCGCCCAAGUGGCCUAUAGCCACAGAGUGGGAAUAUUAUUGCUCCGUUUUCAUCUCUGGCGCUAGAACAGCAAUAAUCGUGGCAACCAACAUUAUGGAGCGGCUCUUGUGCUCCAGGCCCUGCGCAAAGGACUUCUACAGGUAUUAUCCCACUUAAUCCUCCCGGAAGCAGCGUGAAAUGGCACAAUUUUGAUCAUUUCUGCUUUACAGCAUAGGAUCUGAGACUUGGUUAAGGUCACACUGCAGGUAAGUGGCAUUGUUGAAAUCUGAAUCUGGGUUUAAAUUUUUAAUUAAAUUUUAACAUGGAACGAUUUCCACAUUAAGAGCUCUGUUUUCUCAUGGCAGCAUUCGAUUAGCAGCUUCACCCCUGAAAUUGGCCAUGUCCUCUUCACUUGACUGGAUUCUCUACCACUCCCUAAUGUCUUCCCAGCAUGGAGACCAGGGGCAGUUGUCAUUUCUCAUAUCUGUACUGGUGUUUUCCUUAUAGUAGAGAAAUAUUUCUUGUGCCUAGACCUCUCUCUGUGGAAGUCAACUUUUAAGGUGGUCCUCAGUGAUCCCCCGCUCUUGUUCCCGCCUUUGUGAAGUCCCCUCCUCUGUUGUACAAAGAUAAGGUCUGUGUGACCAAUGUUUUAUGGCAGGGGAGAUAGUAUGUCAUUUCUGAAGUUAAGUUAUAAAAGACUCUAAUUUCCAUUUAGGUGCCUGGCUUUAUCUUUCUUUCUCUUGUAUCUCUCCUUCUGGGGCAAGCCGACUGCCAUAUUGUGAGCAGCUCUAUGGAGAAGACCAUGUAGUGAGGAGCUCAAGGCUGUGGCCAGCAGCCAGUGAGGAGUGGAGGCUAUCAACAAGGGAGUUGGGAAGUGGGUCCUCUGGCCCCAAGUGAGUCUUCAGAUGGCUGCAGCGCUGGGUGACAAUUGGACCGUAACCGCCUGGGAGACCCUGAGCCAGAACUGCUGAGCCAAGCUAUUUCCAGAAACUGUGAGAUAAUAAGUGGUCACUGUGUUAUCUUGCUAAGAUUUGGAGUAGUUUGUUACUCAGCAAUAGAUAAACUAAUUCACUAUCAAAAGUGGGGAGAACAGCUAGAUCAAGAGUACCAUGUAGUUAAAGCAAUGAAGAAAGAGCCUAUUUAUCUGUGGAAGUAAAGAAUACUUACAUCAUUGUGAAGCCUGCCAUAGUAAGAACUAGGUAUAUGGGAAAGAUGAACCAUGACAUCUUAAUGAGCCGGGCCCGUUUUACUUCUUCACGUGGUCUACCUGGCCCCUCUAGCUCUUUGAGUCUUUCAAGCUUGCUGUAAAGCAAUGGUUUUUCAAACUGUUUUUGAACUUGUUGAUUGCCUCCCUCCCCAAGAAGUGCAUUAAGUACAUUUCACACUGUGACUCACAAGAGCAAGCCCAAAUGAAACAAAAGUUUCCUAGAACAAUAUUCACUUUCACUAUGAGUGUUGUACUCUAAGCUUCUUUGUUCUAUUCAUUUUCAUUUGUAAAACCUCUUCAUUUUGAAAUGAGCAUAGACUCACAGAAAGUUGCAAAGAUGGUACACUGAGGUUCCCUGGGUACUCAAUAGUAACAUCUUAUAUAACUAUAGUGCAAUAUCAAAACCAGGCACCUGACAUUGGUGCAAUCUACAGAAUUUUCCAGAUUUCACCCAUUUAUUAUGUGUAUGUGUGUGUAUUUCUCUGCAAUUUUAUCACAUGUUCCGAGUUGUACAACCACCACAAUCCAGAUGCAGACCUAUUCCAUCACCACAAAGGGAAUCCUUCGUGCUACCGCUUUAGAGUGUCACCUACCUCCAUUCGACCCC